ACACAGUUGGGAGAAAGUCCAGAGCCUCUUCCAAGAUGCUUGUGGUCCUGCUCACAGCAGCCUUGCUAGUCCUGAGCUCAGCUCAGAGGGCAGAGGAAGAUUUGAACAAUGAUAAUACAUCUGGUGUCCAACCAAUACCCAACCCUGCAGAGAAAACCCAGGACUCAGAGUUAGGUCCUUCUGCUGCUGCUGCAAAUAUAGGGAAUAUCCAAGAAUCAUCACCAUUAGUAAAAGUGGAUCCUUCAUCCAACUCUGGGAAUGAACAGCAAGUAGAACCGGAGGAAUCACAACAGGCAGAGAGUCAAGAGCAUUGUGACUCCUCUGGAAAACAAGAGAAAAAUCAACCUAGAAAAAGAAAUGUAGUGGAGGUUAAAAAUCUUUCUUCAUCUCCUGAAAACUCACAAGGUUCACCCCAACAAAUACAUUCAAAGCAGAAACCUUUGAUUGAGGGAGGAUCUGGUCAAGAGAGAGUACCUCCUCCUUUACAUCCUCCUAAAUUUUUCCGACCACGAGUACCUAAUAAUUAUGUACCUUUUUGGCUUGGGCCCCGGAGAAAUUAGAGAGUACCAGAUAAAAAUAUGUCCUUCAGAUGUAAAGGUCAUCAAAUCAGGGUUGAUUGUCUAUACUAUUCCAAUAAAAUUUUCAGCA
rnacentral:lncRNA from 1 species